rnacentral:lncRNA from 1 species
CGGUCGGGGAGGGCUUGGCCGGCUCCGUCUCGAUCGUGGACUUCUCCGUCUCGAUCUGCAACUUCUCGAUCUGCGACGUCUCGAUCUGUGACUUCUCGAUCUGCGACGUGUGGUGGACUUCUCCGUCUCGAUCUGCGACGUGGGUGGACUUCUCCGUCUCGAUCUGUGACGUGUGGUGGACGGCUCCGUCUCGAUCUGCGACGUGUGGUGGACUUCUCCGUCUCGAUCUGCGACGUGGGUGGACUUCUCCGUCUCGAUCUGUGACGUGUGGUGGACGGCUCCGUCUCGAUCUGCGACGUGUGGUGGACUUCUCCAUCCCGAUCUGCGACGUGUAGUGGACGGCUCCAUCUUCUAUCAGCGAGUGCUUGGUCGUCGACGUCUCGAUCUGUGUGGGAGAGUUAACAACUGCGUCCUCGGUCUACACAGUCG